UACGGAGGGAGCUAGCGUUGUCCGGAAUUACUGGGCGUAAAGCGCGCGUAGGCGGCUUUGUAAGUUAGAGGUGAAAGCCCGGGGCUCAACCCCGGAACUGCCUUUAAGACUGCAUCGCUUGAAUCCGGGAGAGGUGAGUGGAAUUCCGAGUGUAGAGGUGAAAUUCGUAGAUAUUCGGAAGAACACCAGUGGCGAAGGCGGCUCACUGGACCGGUAUUGACGCUGAUGUGCGAAAGCGUGGGGAGCAAACAGG
rnacentral:rRNA from 1 species